ensembl:ncRNA asRNA:CR45133 antisense RNA:CR45133
GGUUAUAAACACCAAUGCGAAUAGUGUUUGUGUCAGUGUGCAUGUGUUUGUGACUGUGAUCAGUCGAUAUUAAGGCAAUACAUACGAAGCUGGCGGACUGGGCAGCGCCACCCGGUGGAUGUUCCACGUAGCCACCGAUACGGAAUGCUCGUCGGCCGCAUAGCAUCUCCACACGGCCUGGAUGAGAGUGGCCGCCGGCUGGCGACGGCGAAUCAUGUGCUUCUGCCGCUGCUGCUGCUGCACCUUCAGAGCAAAUCCGCUGCCGAGGAUGCCCUGGGAAAAAAGAAGUGACUUACAGCUGGCAAAGCGAAAAAGGAUAUUCCCAGAAGGGCGCAGCAGGAGGCAAUUAGCUUGCCCUGCCAGGUGAUGGGCACCAUGUCUCCAUAGCCCACCGUGCAGAGUGUGAUCUGGAAUCGAAAGGAUGGGCUAGCACUGUGAUUAUGUCAUGGGAUCCAAGGGACUCACCACACCCCACCAGAGGGCUUGGGCGAAAUUGCUAAACUUAUCAUUGACGUCCUUCUCCCACAUAUAGACCAGGAAUGAUGCAAAGAUUAGACCUAAGAACCCUAUGUACAUGGUUGUGAUCAGUUCCUGCAAGUCAAAAUAUAUAUGUAGAUAGGAAAUCGUGUACGUUUUUAAAGAUAAGGCAUUUAAUUAACUUUAAAGCAUGUGUUAUUUACGCAAUUAAAGUGCACUUGUCAUCCCGAUAACGAUAAGAAAGUGAUCUUCUUAAGCACUCUAAUCAAAGAGAACUUGAGCAAAUACUUUCAAGGUGUAAACGUGGAAAACAAACUCACCUGUCUAUGUGCGUAUACAACCGAGCCGAGCAGCUUCCAGGUGCCGCCCCGCCGAUCCAUGCGCACCAUCCGAAGGAUCUGAAAGAACCGGAGGCCACGUAAAGCACUCGUGGCGAACACCUGGCCCGAGGUGCCCAUUCCUAAUACUACAAUUGAGGCUAAAAUGAAUGGUCGCUUCACGAACUUCAGUCGACCCAGGCAUCCCUGGUAUCGCGAUCGGCAGCCCGAUGACCAGAGUCGAGCUCCAAACUCCAUUGUGAACCAGAUAACCACCAGGAUCUCCAUGCGGAACAGAAUGUAGACGGCGUCCUCUUCGUACUCCUUGAUGGUGGAAAACACACUGAGCGCCAGGCAGGUGAACACCAUCAGGAAUCUUUAGGAAAUGAGCAAUCACAAAUUAUUGUAAUGUAAAGUAAAUAAAUACUUUUUUCUCUUAUGGCAUUCAAUAAUUUUUAGUGU